rnacentral:lncRNA from 1 species
AUUUGCAUUUUCCUACAGGGUUGGUAUUGGACGCGUCCAAAACCAUUCUCAUGAGCUAUAAAUUGCCUAAUUUGUUUUUCAUUUAUCUAGGGAUUGAUUUUGGAUGUAUCCAGAACCAUUUUCCUUGGCGCUAAAAUCGGUAAAUUGAUUUGCAUUUUCCUAUAGGUUUGGUUUUGGACGCAUCCAAAACCAUUCUCAUGAGCUAUGAAUUGCCUAAUUUGUUUGCAUUUGUCUAGGGAUUGGUUUUGGAUGCAUCCAGAACCAUUUUCAUUAGCGCUAAAAUCGGUAAAUUGAUUUCCAUUUCCCUUAGCUGAUGCUAUCUUAACCAAAACUAUUGUAAAUUAUAGCAUAUUCGUACCAUAGAUUCCUUGUAUAUUAUUGCCUUUAUUGUAUAUAAUGUAUCUUAAUAAAGUGGGUAAAUAAAGGUUUUUUAAUCUGUUGUCAAGUCAAAGUGU